UCCGUUGGUGAACCUGCGGAGGGAUCAUUACCGAGUUUACAACUCCCAAACCCAAUGUGAACGUUACCAAACUGUUGCCUCGGCGGGGUCACGCCCCGGGUGCGUAAAAGCCCCGGAACCAGGCGCCCGCCGGAGGAACCAACCAAACUCUUUCUGUAGUCCCCUCGCGGACGUAUUUCUUACAGCUCUGAGCAAAAAUUCAAAAUGAAUCAAAACUUUCAACAACGGAUCUCUUGGUUCUGGCAUCGAUGAAGAACGCAGCGAAAUGCGAUAAGUAAUGUGAAUUGCAGAAUUCAGUGAAUCAUCGAAUCUUUGAACGCACAUUGCGCCCGCCAGUAUUCUGGCGGGCAUGCCUGUCCGAGCGUCAUUUCAACCCUCGAACCCCUCCGGGGGAUCGGCGUUGGGGAUCGGGACCCCUCACCGGGUGCCGGCCCUGAAAUACAGUGGCGGUCUCGCCGCAGCCUCUCCUGCGCAGUAGUUUGCACAACUCGCACCGGGAGCGCGGCGCGUCCACGUCCGUAAAACACCCAACUUCUGAAAUGUUGACCUCGGAUCAGGUAGGAAUACCCGCUGAACUUAAGC
rnacentral:rRNA from 1 species